UUUGGCUUUGGCAGCGGUCCAAGUUCCUUGGAACAGGACGUCACAGAGGGUGAGAAUCCCGUACGUGGUCGCUAGCUAUUGCCGUGUAAAGCCCCUUCGACGAGUCGAGUUGUUUGGGAAUGCAGCUCUAAAUGGGAGGUAAAUUUCUUCUAAAGCUAAAUAUUGGCCAGAGACCGAUAGCGCACAAGUAGAGUGAUCGAAAGAUGAAAAGCACUUUGGAAAGAGAGUCAAACAGCACGUGAAAUUGUUGAAAGGGAAGCGCUUGCAGCCAGACUUGCUUGCAGUUGCUCAUCCGGGCUUUUGCCCGGUGCACUCUUCUGCAGGCAGGCCAGCAUCAGUUUGGGCGGUGGGAU
rnacentral:rRNA from 1 species